GUAUCUUCUUAAUCUUGCGUAGUUGAUAAAAUUAGUAUCUUUGCAUGCCCCGUGCAUGACUAAAUAGUCGGUUUUGUUUAUAACUAAUUAUCCUAGUGUAAUUAUGUACUUUAUUUGGCACAUUUUGUUAUCUAAUAUAUGGUUGUUUAGCUAGAGUAAGUGCUUAGCUUCUAAACUGAUGAACUUCCAUGUUAUUGUUGUUGGUAGAUAUAUUUGCCUGUAGCAUGUGUAGGUGUUGCCAUAUUAUUUCGGUGUUUAUUUAAAUCUAACAAGGAUAUCUAAUUCCAUAGUGCAUGUUUGUGGGUCCACCGGCUCCCUCGUUGACUAGCUAGCCUCUAGCUUCUCACACAGAUUCGAAUCUACACAGAAAAGAGAGAUGCAUUCGCAAAAGAUAGAAAGAGGCGGUUAGGGUUGGCCCUUCCACCAUCAGGGACGGAUCGCCGCCAGCGGGCUCUGUUGCCUCUCCUACGUGGGAAACGAGCCAAGCCUAACCCGCUCAAGAUCUUCCCUGAGUUCGCCUGCUGUCAACGAGUGGGUCUACGAUGUCCCCGCCUAGCAGCAACUUGGAAGACAUGCUUCACAAUUCAUGAGACGGUGGAAAGCUUCCUCAACUCCAACCUCUCUCUAGCAGCAAGGUCAGACCUCAGAACUCGAAUCAGAUGCAACCAUAUUAUGUAGUACUGCUGGUCAAGCGCCAAGGUCUGCUGGCAUGAAGAAAAAACUGCUCCAGUCCUUAGCGGCAUCAUCAGGCUGUUCUCCCCUCCUUGGCAUUGCUUGCGAGCUCACCACCAAUAUUUUCCCCUUGAUUUCCUUACUUUUGAUCAUGUUGUUAGUGCAUACUCCUUUUAUAAACUGAUUGGAACCAAAAGAAACCUUUUUUGCCGGGGGAGAAAGCUUUGGUUGUUGUCAAGUAAUAUAUGGGCUAGAGUAUUUAUCUAUGUAAAUGUUUGAAGUCAUGAGCCAGCAUAAUUGCUAUUUAUGUUUGAUCAUGCUUUUCAUUUAUUUAAUAGAUGCUUGAAUAAUUUAAUCUCCAUGUACAAUAUAAUGAUACUUUUUUUUGCUAAAUGCGAAGUCCAGUCACGAGUUCGGAGUUCCUAUCAUACUGUUCUUUGAAACUAAUUCCCUGGGGUAUUUUAUGAUCUGUUGUUUGUACGAUAAACGACAGGGAUGACGAAAUCCUCCGAAGCAUCUUCAUGCUGCUAUUUGGCCUGGUGUAUUUUCUAGCUUGGAGCGUCUGGGCAGUCGUUUGCUGUGUUCAUUUCCCGCUGGUGGAGAAGAAGUAGGUGGAUGUGGUGAUCGAGGAUGUGCCGAGCCGCACCCACACCGCGACCAUCAAGUUAGUGCUCAUGGAGGCCACGACCUCAUUGAGGGCCCUGCCAAGAAGUUCGUGGUGGCCGUCUUCAAGGACAAGAGUUGAGGACACAAAGAAGCAGCUCAAGGGCAAUGAUGUUGGUGACCUAGCCUCUUCCAUCUGGUCUGCAGGUUCGGAGGUAGUAGUACCAUCUUCCAACUAUUGACUUAGCUAAUGUGGAGCAGUGCAAGGUGGUGCUUGAAGGAGCAGUGGAAGGAGGUGUUGGGCACACACAACCUGGACAUGUUGGAGAAGAUGAAGCCUAAGAUAGUACAUGCUGUGGAUGAUAUGCUCCUCAGGAAGUUUAGCAACCCGGACUACCUGUUGCUGAGCUCUCAGGCCAGCUGUAUGUGUUGUUGGACUGCCAUAGCUGAAUGAUGGAGGAAGGGAAAACAGGAGAGUGUGAGAGAUCCAUGUACUACUAAUACUGAGUUUUGUGUGCCAAACUGAGAGAAUUAACGUUUCAUAAUGCUGAGAGAUGAGAUGCACGUAGUGCUGGGUUUUCUUUUCAUUCUUGCAUGUUGUGUUGCGGCAAUAUAGACACCUUCUUGACUCCCUGUAACAUAAAUAUAUUGUAUUUCGUGUCAAGCUGACACCUGCUUGCUA